GACGAAACGCUGGCGGCGUGCCUAAAUACAUGCAAGUAGAACGCUGAAGAGAGGAGCUUGCUCUUCUUGGAUGAGUUGCGAAACGGGUGAGUAAACGCGUAGGUAACCUGCCUUGUAGCGGGGGGAUAAACUAUUGGAAAACGAUAGCUAAAUACCGCAUAAACAAUGGAUGACACAUGUCAUUUAUUUGAAAGGGGCAAUUGCUCCACUACAAGAUGGACCUGCGUUGUAUUAGCUAGUAGGUGAGGUAAUGGCUCACCUAGGCGACGAUACAUAGCCGACCUGAGAGGGUGAUCGGCCACACUGGGACUGAGACACGGCCCAGACUCCUACGGGAGGCAGCAGUAGGGAAUCUUCGGCAAAUGGGGCAAACCCUGACCGAAGCAACGCCGCGUGAGUGAAGAAGGGUUUUCGGAUCGUAAAAGCUCUGUUGUAAGUC
rnacentral:rRNA from 1 species